UAAGGAAUAUUGGUCAAUGGACGCAACUCUGAACCAGCCAUGCCGCGUGCAGGAAGACGGCCCUCUGGGUUGUAAACUGCUUUUAUUCGGGAAUAAACCACAUUACGUGUAAUGUGCUGAAUGUACCGAAGGAAUAAGGAUCGGCUAACUCCGUGCCAGCAGCCGCGGUAAUACGGAGGAUCCAAGCGUUAUCCGGAUUUAUUGGGUUUAAAGGGUGCGUAGGCGGCUUAUUAAGUCAGGGGUGAAAGACGGUGGCUCAACCAUCGCAGUGCCCUUGAUACUGAUGAGCUUGAAUGGACUAGAGGUAGGCGGAAUGUGACAAGUAGCGGUGAAAUGCAUAGAUAUGUCACAGAACACCGAUUGCGAAGGCAGCUUACUAUGGUUUUAUUGACGCUGAGGCACGAAAGCGUGGGGAUCAAAC
rnacentral:rRNA from 1 species